GGAAUAGCAAGUAGGAUGUGAUUAUGGGAUGAAAGGUAUCCACAUGUGCAUACAUCGAAGACUCUAGGUCUUUGGAAGGUAUGGGUUAAUAUAGGAAGGGUCCCUUUAAGAGUUAGGUUUUGACCUGAGGGCUGGAGGGGAGAAUAUGGAAAAUUUUAGACAAAGACCACAAAAAGAAGGAAGAUAAUCAUCUAAAUAAGUUAGGCAGAAGGGGAUGAAGUUAGGUGUUCAUUAGCAGGGAAGCUUUCAGGGAAAGAACCACAUCCUAUGUAGCUUAAGCAAAAGUAGGAAUUGAUCAGAUUAGCUCACGGAAGUGAAAUCCAGGCUAAUCUUGCUUGGCUCCAGGCAGGGCUGGAUCCAGGGCUCAAAUGGUGUGGAAUGGGAGGGCCCCUACUGCUACCUGGUAGACAGAUUCUCUCCAAGUGGUAAGCAGGACUCACAUUAUUUAAGCUCAGUGACUCAGGAGAAAGCCUUUUCUGAGAACCCAGAUUUCAAAGAGGUCUCUGGCUUGACAUGGGUCACUGAUCCAACUCUCUCCCGGUCGCUGUGGUCCCGGAGCAAUUGGGGUGCACUGGGGAAGUCAGCUGAUUGAACCACAUGGAUGGGUUCACCACCACCAAGAGGAGUUUUGCUCCCAGCAGACAGGGCAAAUGAUGCGGGGUAGGCAACAGGAACACAGCCAGCCACGGUGGGUAGCGCCGGGCCUCACCUCCCACACCAUCUGCCAUCGCCUCAUGGGCAUCCAUACCUUCUGUUUCAGCUUGACACCAGCCCCCUGAGCCAACAGGACCCCCUGAGGUGAUUGUGGAGUCAUGUGAUCACAUGAGUUCCUGGAAACCCCAUCUUACAGCAGUCAGUUGUCAAGAGGACUGAAUGUAGACAGUUCCUUUGUUCCAAGGGAUUUGGAGCUAUGACAGAAUUCACCGAGUCCAAGGUCAGCGGAGUGAAGAGUGGAGUGACGGUAUUUCUCAGGCAGUAUUAAAUGAACGCAGCCACCAGGACAUUUGGGAUCUGGCUGUAGGUUGGAUGGAGUCUAAUGCUGGGGAGGUCACAGAGGAAGAGCUGUGACUUACCCCAGCUAACAUGCGGACCUGCUAUAUUGAGCUACUUGCACAGCUUCAUUUCCAGUGUCCUUCCCAUGUGCUGUAUGCGGUCUUCAGUGCAACAGAAUAUUAUUCUUUCUCCCUAGUAGAGAAAUCUCAUGCACACUUUUAGAGAAUUGUUUAUUUCCAGUAGGAAUCGGCACCCAUCCUGUGCUUGCUGUGGAUGCUUAGAAGACUUCUGGGUGAGGAGGCACAUGGGGCUGGGGCAUGCACCAGUGGCAAGAACAAGCACAGAUUACUAGAAUGCUUUAGAAAGCCUUUUCUGCUUCAGAUAAGUGGCUAAUUAAAUUUGGGGUUGGCUAUUGGAAGAGUGCCAAUUAUGGAAACGAGCAUCUGUUGAUCACACUUUGCUUUCAGGCGUUUGGCUCCUUACUAGAGUGCUGUUGGAGAGAGAGCAGGGAACUGCUGCUAGAACCACGAGAGGAAAACAUGGUAGGAGGAGUGAUUCAUCAUAUUUACUUUGAGGCGUUCGUCUUGUAACAAGAUUAAUUCAGUAGGACUCAACUUCCAGAGAAAAAUGGACCGUUUAUUGUUUUAGAUUCAGGCUUAGGCACAGCAGGUGGAUUUUCCAAAUUGCCGCAUCUGACAUUUCCUAGAAAUAUAAGCUAGCAUUAUUCCAUUUUUUGGCAACUACAAAGUUCUAUUUGAACAUUCUACAAGUCAGUUGGCAGGGCUGGGAAUUUCGAGCACUUAACUAUCACUCUUGAGCUUGAGCUUGAUUUUUGUCAAGUGAUUUUUAACCAUGAGACAUUCCUUUUUUAGAUCUGGAAAUCAUCUCAGAAAAUGUAAGUCAUUUGCCAAAGGUCACUGAAUAAUAUACAGAUUAGAGCUGGGAACUGAUGAAUAUUGAUUGGAAUCCAGUUCUCUUAUAUCUCGGAGUCACUUAUGGCAAGUGACUGCGUAAUUUGUGAUAUGUGUAACUUUGUUCAGCACAUGGAAUCCGUGCAGAUUUUUGACAUGUGUCUUCUCCUGGCUUUUCCCCCUGGUACUUCAAGGCCUUGCUUAUUGUGAUGUCUGCUCUUACCAGAAGUGAGAAUGGAAAGCUGUAAACCAUAUGUACUCUUCUUCUAGAAGCAAACUUUCCUGCUGUGUUGGGCAGACACAACAGGCAAAUCCACUUUGCCAGCAGUAAUACCGCUGUCCAGAUCCUGACGAACCUCUAGGAAAAAAAAGAGAUUCUUUUGUCAGACACAGAUCCUGAGGUUUUUCCUCCAAUGCUGUCAGAUGAAAGAGAGGACUCCUCUCCUGGCUCGACCCAUAACGCCAGCUCUGUCUGCUCAUCAUGUCCGUUGCCCAAAGCUGGAGAAGCAGCAAGGAGCCAUCAGAGAUAUGGGAGUGAUCUGUCCCCGGCCAUUGUCAUGAUCCCUUGGACAUCCUCCUCCUGGGCAUGUGAAUGGAUUUGGAGAUAGUUUGACAGGAAAUUUCCGAGUUGACUGCCAUCUUAGGGGUUGAAUCUGUUUUCAGCUUCACUCUGGGUUUCACCACACGUAUGAAAGAAAGACGAUUCCAGUAGGACUUAAAAAAGAAAAGCCAGCCUGACUUCUAUGAUCCAAUUUUGCAUCGUGGAUGCGUUUUCUUCCUGGAGGGAGUCAUGUGAUUUCUCCCCUUCUCACCAUCCUGCAUUCUUUUCAUUCUGAGGCCUGGUCACAUCAGGACAGAAGCCUUCAUCCUCAGGCUCUGGGGGAUGAAUGGGCGGCAUGCCCCACUCUGGCUCUGCCUUAAGUUUCUUCCAAACAAGAGAGGAGACAAACGGGUGUGUAACUCAACAUAAUCCGGGGCAAGAUAUGAUCCAGACCAUGAGAGAAAAAUAAACAGUGUGCUGAUGGAAAAUUAAUCUUAUUAGAGAAGAUUUAUUUGUGGUGACAUUUGAAAUGAGCCUGAAAAACUAGUCGGAUUUUGACAGACGGUAGAGUGUCACUAGUAUUAUUACGGUAUUCAUGUCCAAUAAUAGCUAAAUGAAUCUGUAUCUGUUGAGGACAUUUGGAGGCUUUUGGCCUCCACAUGAUGUUCUACUGGCAGGAAUACCCCAGCUAUCCUUUGGAGGAUCAACUUUCUCUCUCGCACUCUCAACCCAAGUGGUUUGAAUCGGGCUGAUCCUGCCCCCUACACCCGCUCCCUUAGACAUGUGACCCAGCCUAGCCAAUAAGAGAACCACAUUCUCUCUACCACAGUGAUCGGUUCGGGGGUGGGUGUGUGACCCAAGUUGGACCAGUUCUGGAGCUUUUUCUAGAACCAUUGCCCAAGAGGCAUCAUCUUUCUGCUGGGAUUGUCACACUGGUAGGUAGUAAUUUAGGAGCUGCAAGGGGCCUGUUUUGUUACCACAGAGGAGAACCCGAGAGAUGGAGAGAUUCCUGAGCACCUGGAUCCAGUCAUGCCUGCAACUCAGCUGUUGGAGGUUUUAGUCAGUCAAGCCAAUAAAUUCACUUUGUAAUAAGCCAUUUUGUGUUUUUUUCCCUUGCAAACGGAAAAAGUCCUAACCACUACAGAAUUAUUUUUCUUUUUUAAAGAUAUUUUAUUUGUU